GAUGAACGCUGGCGGCGUGCCUAAUACAUGCAAGUCGAGCGAACGGACGAGAAGCUUGCUUCUCUGAUGUUAGCGGCGGACGGGUGAGUAACACGUGGAUAACCUACCCAUAAGACUGGGAUAACUUCGGGAAACCGGAGCUAAUACCGGAUAAUAUUUUGAACCGCAUGGUUCAAAAGUGAAAGACGGUCUUGCUGUCACUUAUAGAUGGAUCCGCGCUGCAUUAGCUAGUUGGUAAGGUAACGGCUUACCAAGGCAACGAUGCAUAGCCGACCUGAGAGGGUGAUCGGCCACACUGGAACUGAGACACGGUCCAGACUCCUACGGGAGGCAGCAGUAGGGAAUCUUCCGCAAUGGGCGAAAGCCUGACGGAGCAACGCCGCGUGAGUGAUGAAGGUCUUCGGAUCGUAAAACUCUGUUAUUAGGGAAGAACAUAUGUGUAAGUAACUGUGCACAUCUUGACGGUACCUAAUCAGAAAGCCACGGCUAACUACGUGCCAGCAGCCGCGGUAAUACGUAGGUGGCAAGCGUUAUCCGGAAUUAUUGGGCGUAAAGCGCGCGUAGGCGGUUUUUUAAGUCUGAUGUGAAAGCCCACGGCUCAACCGUGGAGGGUCAUUGGAAACUGGAAAACUUGAGUGCAGAAGAGGAAAGUGGAAUUCCAUGUGUAGCGGUGAAAUGCGCAGAGAUAUGGAGGAACACCAGUGGCGAAGGCGACUUUCUGGUCUGUAACUGACGCUGAUGUGCGAAAGCGUGGGGAUCAAACAGGAUUAGAUACCCUGGUAGUCCACGCCGUAAACGAUGAGUGCUAAGUGUUAGGGGGUUUCCGCCCCUUAGUGCUGCAGCUAACGCAUUAAGCACUCCGCCUGGGGAGUACGACCGCAAGGUUGAAACUCAAAGGAAUUGACGGGGACCCGCACAAGCGGUGGAGCAUGUGGUUUAAUUCGAAGCAACGCGAAGAACCUUACCAAAUCUUGACAUCCUUUGACAACUCUAGAGAUAGAGCUUUCCCCUUCGGGGGACAAAGUGACAGGUGGUGCAUGGUUGUCGUCAGCUCGUGUCGUGAGAUGUUGGGUUAAGUCCCGCAACGAGCGCAACCCUUAAGCUUAGUUGCCAUCAUUAAGUUGGGCACUCUAAGUUGACUGCCGGUGACAAACCGGAGGAAGGUGGGGAUGACGUCAAAUCAUCAUGCCCCUUAUGAUUUGGGCUACACACGUGCUACAAUGGACAAUACAAAGGGCAGCGAAACCGCGAGGUCAAGCAAAUCCCAUAAAGUUGUUCUCAGUUCGGAUUGUAGUCUGCAACUCGACUACAUGAAGCUGGAAUCGCUAGUAAUCGUAGAUCAGCAUGCUACGGUGAAUACGUUCCCGGGUCU
rnacentral:rRNA from 1 species